UUUCCGUAGGUGAACCUGCGGAAGGAUCAUUCAUAAUAAGUGUUUUAUGGCACUUUUUUAAAUCCAUAGCCACCUUGUGUGCAAUGUCAGGGUUGGGCUCUUUUGAUCAGCCCCAAACAACAACUAUUAUCUCAACUCUUUGUCUGAAAAAUAUUAUGAAUAAAACAAUUCCAAAUACAACUUUCAACAACGGAUCUCUUGGCUCUC
rnacentral:misc_RNA from 1 species